rnacentral:lncRNA from 1 species
CAAUAGAUCAGAAGCACCACUUCUACUCCUCAGCUGCAAUAGCUUCUUCUUUCUUCUCAACUUUCUCUUCUGGUUCAGUAUCGACUUUUUCCACCUCAUUUGGCUCGGUUUCUGUUUCUUUCUUGGUUUCAUCUGGUUUAGCUUCUGGUUCUUUGGUUUCUUCGGCCUCUGGUUGUGGCUCUGGUGCCACCUUUGCAGGUUGUUCCACAGAGCUAACCUCCUUACCUUCUUCUUUAUCUUCAUCGUUGAGCACUAACUUGGUUUCAGCCUCAACUGCAAGGGCUUCAGAUUCGGCUUCUGGUUCUGGUUCAGGAGCUACAAGUUCAGAUUCUGGUUUAGGUUGAGGUGCAACCGUGUAAGCAGGUUCUUUAGCAAGCUGGUCUUCUUCUUGUGGUGUAGUUACUGUUGUUUCUUGAUCAUUUGUGUUCUUGAUGUCGUCUUCAG